rnacentral:rRNA from 1 species
UACAGAGGUCUCAAGCGUUGUUCGGAAUCACUGGGCGUAAAGCGUGCGUAGGCUGUUUCGUAAGUCGUGUGUGAAAGGCGCGGGCUCAACCCGCGGACGGCACAUGAUACUGCGAGGCUAGAGUAAUGGAGGGGGAACCGGAAUUCUCGGUGUAGCAGUGAAAUGCGUAGAUAUCGAGAGGAACACUCGUGGCGAAGGCGGGUUCCUGGACAUUAACUGACGCUGAGGCACGAAGGCCAGGGGAGCGAAAGGG